CCCCGACAUUACCCUCCCAAAAGACGGGCGCGGACGGUUCGUAAAACGCUUGCAGCUUUUCCCAAAGUUCAGGUGGAUUGUUCAUGAUCGUCAUCAUCCCCCCUUCGUCCGCCGCACCUCUUUCCGGCGCCGUACCGACAGGGGGAGCAGAAGCGGGAGGAGGAGCCGAACACAACUCUUCCGGCAGAGACAUACCCAUCAUCCCCAAAUCAUUCGUCAUACCCACACCCACACCCAC
rnacentral:sRNA from 1 species